rnacentral:antisense_RNA from 1 species
UAUUAUGGUGGUCAUGCGCGGGGUCCUUUCGAGGGCGCCGGGAACUGAUACGACCGGUCUACCAACCCGCGUAUGGCCACCACCCUU